rnacentral:rRNA from 1 species
AACGCGAAGAACCUUACCUGGCCUUGACAUGUCCGGAAUCCUCCAGAGAUGAGGGAGUGCCUUAGGGAAUCGGAACACAGGUGUUGCAUGGCUGUCGUCAUCAGCUCGUGUCGUGAGAUGUUGGGUUAAGUCCCGCAACGAGCGCAACCCUCGUCCUUUGUUGCCAGCACGUAAUGGUGGGAACUCAAGGGAGACUGCCGGUGAUAAACCGGAGGAAGGUGGGGAUGACGUCAAGUCAUCAUGGCCCUUACGGCCGGGGCUACACACGUGCUACAAUGGCGGGUACAAAGGGCUGCAAACCAGCGAUGGGGAGCAAAUCCCAAAAAGCCCGUCUCAGUCCGGAUUGCAGUCUGCAACUCGACUCCGUGAAAUCGGAAUCUCUAGUAAUCGCAAUAAUACUUCCCGGGUAAUGUAUUCCCGGGUCUUGUACACACCG